ACUCCAUGAUGCUGACAUCUUCUCAUAAUAUCCUUAAAUCUUUCUCAUGCUUCAAACACUAUUUUUGUAUCUUGCUGCUCGAAGUUGUGGAUCUCUCUUUGAAUUU
ncrna:Nicotiana tabacum cultivar TN90 Ntab-TN90_scaffold316, whole genome shotgun sequence